CAAUCUCGGCAUUUCUGUAUUCAUUGCUUUUGCUUCUUAGCCUUUCAUGGCAUUUGAAGAUAGAGUACCUGACAACACUAUACCUCAAAAUGCAGUCUGUAUGCAAGUGUCUCAUCUCCUGAAAUCUUAGCUUCAGAUGUUAGUAAAGUUCCACUGCUCUCUCAUGAACCAAAUACAGGGUUCUUGCACACGUUUUGAUCUCUGCUGCACCAAUAUGUGAUUUCAUAAUGGAAGGCAUUCUCCAUUCUGUACUGAGAAGCCUAUGGCCAUGUAACUUCCUGGAGACUAUCAUCUGUCCAGUGCAUCCACUCCAACCACAAUGAGGUCCCUAGGAUUUGGAGCCACUGGUGACUUUACCGAGAGCCAAAAUGGAGAGUUCUGCAGAAAACAUGUGCAGUGAGAAAGUGAAGACAAUGCCUACAGAUGACUCUUCAGUCGGGACCCAUAUUCUUGGAGCAAUCCCAAAGGGAAGCGUGCUCAACACAUAGUGUGCUUUCAUGAUGAAAGCACUUACAGAACCUCAGGGCACCCUAUUUCUCAUUAAUUACCGUGUCCAAGAAAAUGAGCAAAAGGACAACGCUAACAAGAUGGCAUGGAGAGAUUCUUUUUCCAGUUCUUGAGGGUCAACCGGGAAACUGGAAAACGUGAUUUUACAGAUGAGAGGCAUCAUGGCUUUAAAACGAAUAAGCAGACAGGCACAUUUCAUCCACCACCCACCCCAUCUGCCUCGUCAACCAGGUCCCCACAAUGUGUAAAGUGACAAACUGAAACGGGGGAAGAAGGGAACAGAACAGGGUCAGAGAAAUAUAAUCCAAAGUAAAAAUCAUUUCUGUUUGGAGCUCACAAAAGAUCUGG